rnacentral:lncRNA from 1 species
AAGAAAAUUAAAUAACAAUAACGAGGUUAUAUACAGGGUAUUACGGUACAGAGUCAAUGUGGAGGCUAUAUACAGGGUAUUACGGUACAGAGUCAAUGUGGAGGCUAUAUACAGGGUGUUACGGUACAGAGUCAAUGUGGAGGCUAUAUACAGGGUGUUACGGUACAGAGUCAAAGUGGAGGCUAUAUACAGGGUGUUACGUACAGAGUCAAUGUGGAGGCUAUAUACAGGGUGUUACGGUACAGAGUCAAUGUGGAGGCUAUAUACAGGGGGUACCGGUACAGAGUCAAUGUGGAGGCUAUAUACAGGGUGUUACGGUACAGAGUCAAUGUGGAGGCUAUAUACAGGGGGUACCGGUACAGAGUCAAUGUGGAGGCUAUAUACAGGGUGUUACGGUACAGAGUCAGUGUGGAGGCUAUAUACAGGGGGUACCGGUACAGAGUCAGUGUGGAGGCUAUAUACAGGGUGUUACGGUACAGAGUCAAUGUGGAGGCUAUAUACAGGGUGUUACGGUACAGAGUCAAUGUGGAGGCUAUAUACAGGGUGUUACGGUACAGAGUCAAUGUGGAGGCUAUAUACAGGGUGUUACGGUACAGAGUCAAUGUGGAGGCUAUAUACAGGGGGUACCGGUACAGAGUCAAUGUGGAGGCUAUAUACAGGGGGUACCGGUACAGAGUCAAUGUGGAGGCUAUAUACAAGGGGUACCGGUACAGAGUCAAUGUGGAGGCUAUAUACAGGGUGUUACGGUACAGAGUCAAUGUGGAGGCUAUAUACAGGGGGUACCGGUACAGAGUCAAUGUGGAGACUAUAUACAGGGUGUUACGGUACAGAGUCAAUGUG